rnacentral:lncRNA from 1 species
CAAGGGUUAAGUUUUUAAACAAUAAGAUAAAACUAUGUCAAGUACUGAAUUGCUUUUUUUCCAUACAGUUUGGUUUUAUUGACUAGUUUCUAACAUUUAUGACUCAGAUGGAUUGUAAGGAACCAGCAUGUGACUGAAGCAUUGCUCAUCCUUUCUGCAUCUCUGUUCUCCUCUUUUAGCCACAGAGAGAAUCAGGUAUGUGUGAUGUACAGUAUGACAUGUGAUCCCAGGUAAGAUUUGCGAAAAACCAUGAUGUCACACAGAUAGUCGGUUAGGCUAUAUAUUGGAAAUACUCUCUCCAUCAGACACAGCAAGAAAGCCAGGACAACAACACAAGAGUAAGAACUUAUUACUGCAUCUUUCUUCUUUCUUUAUCUCUGUGUUUCAUAUGUUAUUGAGACUAAUUAAUGCUUUGUAACGGUUAUGAUAUGACUGGUUUUCAUUCAACAUCUGAUUUAAUAAAGCUUUCUUUUUUUCUCAUCCAUUUCACAGUGAACGUGGAUCAGGAAAGGCUUCUACAGAUCCUUUUAGUAUCAGUGUGGUUGUGGUGGGUACAAGGCCGCACUACCCCUCCUGCGAUAACCUGUGCCCAGGUGAAAGAAGAAAUAGAACUUUUACUGCAGAAAACAGAGACAGAGAUUGACGCUAUGAAGAACGAGAUGUACGAGACGGUAAUAGAUAAUAAAAGAGGGAAAGUGCAACAGGCCUUUUCUGUUUUGCACCAGAUCACUUGCUAUAAGCAUAGUGACACCACGCUUACAUCUGUGCUCAACGAAGUUAAGGGAGUCCAGACCGCCCUGAUGAUACAGGUGAGACCCGAGGGAAUGAUCUUUCCUCCCAACCAUUUCUUACACA